GCCCGCCUAGCUCAAUCGGAUAGAGCGUCAGACUCUUAACAGCGGGUGAUCUGAAGGCUGCGAGUUCGACCCUCGCGGUGGGCU
rnacentral:tRNA from 1 species